rnacentral:rRNA from 1 species
UACGAAGGGGGCUAGCGUUGUUCGGAUUUACUGGGCGUAAAGCGCACGCAGGCGGCCAUUCAAGUCAGGGGUGAAAUCCCGGGGCUCAACCCCGGAACUGCCUUUGAAACUGUAUGGCUAGAGAUCGAGAGAGGUGAGUGGAAUUCCUAGUGUAGAGGUGAAAUUCGUAGAUAUUAGGAGGAACACCGGUGGCGAAGGCGGCUCACUGGCUCGAUACUGACGCUCAUGUGCGAAAGCGUGGGGAGCAAACAGG